rnacentral:rRNA from 1 species
GUGACUCUUCGGAGUUUGCAUUGUUAAAUAUGCUAGUCCUUUCAUGAUUAUGUGAUAGGUGGUGCAUGGCCGUUCUUAGUUCGUGGAGUGAUCUGUCUGCUUAAUUGCGUUUCAAAUUACUUAUAAGGUAGCAAUACGCGAUGAAGCUUUCAAUAGUCCUCACGGAUUCACUUGAGUCUCUCGCUUCGCUAUCCUUUCGAAUGCAACGAACGUGACCGCAACCUCUUGUUGCCUUC